rnacentral:rRNA from 1 species
UAGGGAAUCUUCGGCAAUGGGGGGAACCCUGACCGAGCAACGCCGCGUGAGUGAAGAAGGUUUUCGGAUCGUAAAGCUCUGUUGUUAAGGAAGAACGAGUGUGAGAAUGGAAAGUUCAUGCUGUGACGGUACUUAACCAGAAAGGGACGGCUAACUACGUGCCAGCAGCCGCGGUAAUACGUAGGUCCCGAGCGUUGUCCGGAUUUAUUGGGCGUAAAGCGAGCGCAGGCGGUUAGAAAAGUCUGAAGUGAAAGGCAGUGGCUCAACCAUUGUAGGCUUUGGAAACUGUUUAACUUGAGUGCAGAAGGUGAGAGUGUAAGUCCAUGUGUAGCGGUGAAAUGCGUAGAUAUAUGGAAGAACACCGGUGGCGAAAGCGGCUCUCUGGUCUGUAACUGACGCUGAGGCUCGAAAGCGUGGGGAGCGAACAGG